CCUACGGGAGGCUGCAGUGGGGAAUAUUGGACAAUGGGCGAAAGCCUGAUCCAGCCAUGCCGCGUGUGUGAAGAAGGCCUUCGGGUUGUAAAGCACUUUCAGUGGGGAAGAAAGCCUUGGGGCUAAUACCCUCGAGGAAGGACAUCACCCACAGAAGAAGCACCGGCUAACUCCGUGCCAGCAGCCGCGGUAAUACGGAGGGUGCGAGCGUUAAUCGGAAUUACUGGGCGUAAAGCGCGCGUAGGCGGUCUGAUAAGCCGGUUGUGAAAGCCCCGGGCUCAACCUGGGAACGGCAUCCGGAACUGUCAGGCUAGAGUGCAGGAGAGGAAGGUAGAAUUCCCGGUGUAGCGGUGAAAUGCGUAGAGAUCGGGAGGAAUACCAGUGGCGAAGGCGGCCUUCUGGAAUGACACUGACGCUGAGGUGCGAAAGCGUGGGUAGCAAACAGGAUUAGAUACCCUGGUAGUC
rnacentral:rRNA from 1 species